UACUAUAUCUUGCGAGAACUGUCUAUUAACUUUCUCAAUUUGAGUUGGUUAACUAAUGAUAAAACUAUCUAACUUAUUAUGAGGCUGAUAAAAACAAAAAUUUAUUACAAUUCAGCAAGGUAGAAACACAACAAACCAACUAAUUUAACAUUUUCUCAAGCACGUGGGGACCGGGGUAGAACAUUAA